rnacentral:rRNA from 1 species
GACGAACGCUGGCGGCGUGCCUAAUACAUGCAAGUAGAACGCACAGUUUAUACCGUAGCUUGCUACACCAUAAACUGUGAGUUGCGAACGGGUGAGUAACGCGUAGGUAACCUGCCUGGUAGCGGGGGAUAACUAUUGGAAACGAUAGCUAAUACCGCAUAAUAUUGAUUAUUGCAUGAUAAUUGAUUGAAAGAUGCCAUUGCAUCACUACCAGAUGGACCUGCGUUGUAUUAGCUAGUAGGUGAGGUAACGGCUCACCUAGGCGACGAUACAUAGCCGACCUGAGAGGGUGAUCGGCCACACUGGGACUGAGACACGGCCCAGACUCCUACGGGAGGCAGCAGUAGGGAAUCUUCGGCAAUGGACGAAAGUCUGACCGAGCAACGCCGCGUGAGUGAAGAAGGUUUUCGGAUCGUAAAGCUCUGUUGUAAGAGAAGAACGGGUGUGAGAGUGGAAAGUUCACACUGUGACGGUAUCUUACCAGAAAGGGACGGCUAACUACGUG